AAAUUGAAGAGUUUGAUCAUGGCUCAGAUUGAACGCUGGCGGCAGGCCUAACACAUGCAAGUCGAACGGUAACAGGAAACAGCUUGCUGUUUCGCUGACGAGUGGCGGACGGGUGAGUAAUGUCUGGGAAACUGCCCGAUGGAGGGGGAUAACUACUGGAAACGGUAGCUAAUACCGCAUAACGUCGCAAGACCAAAGAGGGGGACCUUCGGGCCUCUUGCUAUCGGAUGUGCCCAGAUGGGAUUAGCUAGUAGGUGGGGUAACGGCUCACCUAGGCGACGAUCCCUAGCUGGUCUGAGAGGAUGACCAGCCACACUGGAACUGAGACACGGUCCAGACUCCUACGGGAGGCAGCAGUGGGGAAUAUUGCACAAUGGGCGCAAGCCUGAUGCAGCCAUGCCGCGUGUAUGAAGAAGGCCUUCGGGUUGUAAAGUACUUUCAGCGGGGAGGAAGGGAGUAAAGUUAAUACCUUUACUCAUUGACGUUACCCGCAGAAGAAGCACCGGCUAACUCCGUGCCAGCAGCCGCGGUAAUACGGAGGGUGCAAGCGUUAAUCGGAAUUACUGGGCGUAAAGCGCACGCAGGCGGUUUGUUAAGUCAGAUGUGAAAUCCCCGGGCUCAACCU
rnacentral:rRNA from 1 species